rnacentral:lncRNA from 1 species
UUUUUUUAUUUUCUAACCUUCUUUUUCUCUCUCUCUCUUUGUUCUCUCUCUUUUCUGUAUCUCUUUUCUUCUUCCUCUGUUCCAAAAUCACAAAACUGAAAUCAUGAGAAGAGAGAGAAACAAAACCAAGUCCGGGUAUGAGUUUCCCUCGUUUCUCUAUCUCAUUUGUUCUUCACAUCUCUCCCUCUCCUUCAAAAUCAAUAGAGGAGAGAGAAACAACCAAGUCUUUAGAGAGGGAAAGACCAGUAUAAAGUAUCAAAACCCUUCGAUCUGCGAAUUUAUCCCUCAUCAAAUACGGGUAUGAGUUUCUCUUUUCUAUCUAUGUUAAUCUAUGUAUGAUAGUAUGUCCAGAUAUAUAAAUUAUGUAUACAUGUGUUUGAAUUUUAGGUUUUUAAGAAAUAAAAUGAAUUGGGACAGAAAAGUCUCUGUUUUUAGGAUAUUUGUUAUAGUUUAGAUAUUUGUUAUAGUUUAGGCAUUUGUUGUGAUUGUUGAGUGAUUAAUUGGUGUUAGUUUUGUUCCUUACUUAAUUUGUUUUUAGGAUAUUUCUUUAUUAAAUAAUCAGCUUGAAGCUCCUGAUCACUAUCAAGACUAUCAAGAGAGAUAGAACCUCCAACCCCUUUUGAUUUCUCAACUCCACUGCUCUCUUCAGUAGGUCUUAAGCAAUUUAAAUUGAUAGCCUCAGGAGAUGCCUUGUCAUCUGGUUUCUGAUUUUGCACUAGGCCAGAGAUACAUGGCAUAUUGGCGUCUUCAAUUUUUACUGCAUGAUUUGUUUCCUUCGAUACUUCAUUAAUACUUUUUUCUUUGAUCCUGACUAAAUAAGUUCCUGAUUCUGAACUGGAAAUAAUCAAAGAAACCAAUUUAUCAUCAACCAAUAUUGAUGCUGAAUCUGGGCGAGGCAUAGGGUCUAAAAAUGCGACAGAGGUUAGCAUAUCAUGUGAUGAAAGGAUGGACUCUGGUGUAAUCAGUUUAUGGUGGUUCUCCAGAUUACAAGUGUUUGGCAUCAAUUUUAAGGAAUGACCAUUAGAAUAUCCUUGGACAGAAGAACCAUCUACUCCACCCACUUUCGAUGAGGAUUCGACCCAAGGAUUCUCAUUAUCAAGCCCAACUCGAUCAUUGUUUCUCUCUCCUCUAUUGAUUUUGAAGGAGAGGGAGAGAUGUGAAGAAGCCACUAGGUAUCAGAAAGAAAAUUGGAGGCAAUUCGUGAUUUCAGUUUUGUGAUUUUUGUAACAGAGAGAGAAGAAAGAGAGAGAAAAAGAAGGUUAGAAAAUAAUAAAAAAAUUUAUUAAAUUUUAUUUUGCCACGUGUCAGUUGCUAUUAAGGUCCGUUUGUCCGGUUGGAAAAUUUUUAACGAGAGGGGCACAGUUGACUUAAAAUUUAUAACCUUAAAGGCAUUUUUAAAAAAAAAAUUAGUUUAGGGUGUAAGUGGGAUUUCGGGGUAAACAUCAGGGGUAUUUUUGGACCUUUGCCCCAUUAAUAUUUAUCUCUUAAAAUAAGGACUCCUAAUUAUAUUAGUAUUGUAAAUAUAUAUGAUGAAAUAUCAUAUUUUUGUAAUUAUUUUAUGAGUAUGAUUUUUGUAAUUACUUUCAUAAAUGUACUAUAAUAUAAUAUGUAAUUGUUCCAAAAAGAAAAGGCUCUUGGAGUUCAAAUACCCGCUAAUAAGUUCAUCCUAUUCUUUCCAAAGCCCAAUACUGUUCUGUUUUCACUUUUCAUUAUUUACUACAACCGUAAUGACGUGUGAGGAUGGAGCCUUUGGGCCUAGCUAGUGUUGACCAGGAGUUUGGUGUUUGGACCAUUUUAUGGCCCACUUUAACCCAUUCUAGUUAACCCAAAUUUCUUUUAAAAAAGAAAUCUAGUCAAUCCUAGUAAUUAACCAACUAAGCAUAGUCUUUUGAAUAUAUAUUGAAAUUGAGCUACUUUUAAUGAAUAUAGAAAAACGUCAAUUCUAAUUCCACACAAGUACUCAUCCUUGAGGUAAUGUCACGAUUUUGGGGCCCACUUGAUCAAGACUUAAGCCCACUGGAUUGGGGCUGGCCCAAAUCUCCUAAGUUUAAAGUCGUGUGUAUCAUAAGAAAUAACAUUAACUGCCCGAGGAUACUUUUACUGUUUAAACCAAAAAAAAAAGGAAAAAAUAUAACUAUAACUUGUACCAGAAGAGAAAUAAAAUAAACUUUGGAUUUCAAUACACUUGUCAAAUUAUAUUGGUAGGUCGUAUAUAAUAAUAGCAUUUGUAUUUGAAACUUUUAAUUUAAAAACUCGAUCCUAACUUUACUCUUUUAUAAAUAUACUCACUCAAUUUUGUUAUUAAUAAUCUUAACUAGUUAAUAAAAUACAGUGCAUAGCAAAAAAAAUCACUAAAAUUAAAAUAAUUCUUUUAUAAAAAAUCUUACAAAAUUAUUUUUAAAAAAUAUUUGUGUGCUGUAUUUAUAUAAGAGCUUCCAUCAAUUUUAUGUUAAAUUUGACUUGCUAUUAAUGUGGAACGGUUAAUAUUAAGAUAAAAUAAUAAUAUAUAAAUUUUUUUAUAUAAGAUGAAACUCUAAAAGUCUAAAUUAAAGAAUGAAGAGUUUCACAAAUUAUGACAAUUAUGGAAAAAAGAAAUGAAGAAUGUUGACCGUUCGAUUGGUUACGAAAAUGAAUGACGUUUGGGGCCUCGUGGGUCGUGUUUGUUGACCCAAAACCCUGUCCUUUCACUCAUAAUGAUGAUUCGAAUUCGUAAAAGGCGUACAAAACUGUGAUGACUGCGAGAUCCCCUCGUGACUUCAUUUUCAUAUACUGUCGGUUUGAUUUAAAUUGUAAAUAUUUUUCAAAAAAAUAAAUUAGUAAUACUUUGAUGAAUAAAAAUUUCAUAAUAUAUAUAUAGAAAAAAUUAGAGGUACAUAGCUGUAUAAAUUCCAAAUAUAUUAGAGUAGUCACUCUACUACUGUAAAAACGUAGAGUGAAUCUAAUUUACGAUCGUAUAGUGAGUCUGCCAGAUCGUAUCUGAUCUGGCGCGCUGAGACUGACACGGCCGACUCCUACAAGAGGCAAUACUGGGGAAUUUUUAGGAAAGCCUAUUGAAGGCAGAAGGUCUUUUGAGAAUAAGCAUCUACUAACUCUAUCCAGCUGCCAGUGGAUGAUUUUGGUUAGGUGAAAUUCAAAAUUACAAUUGGUAGCCUUGUGGAUAAUUAUUAGUUCCUUCAUUUAAUUUUGCAGGGACAAUUGAAGAGAGAGAGAGAGAAUGCAGAAUGGAAAAAGUAACGUGAAAGUCGCAGCACAUUCCCAAAAGAGGAGAAGUAGGUUGCAGGCAUUGGUGACAUGAGAAGAAGAAGAAAAAGAAGAAAAUUCAGUAAAAAGCCACUUUUAUACUGCCUCCCUUCUUCCAUCUUGCUUUAAUGACUAUGUACAGUUAAAAUUAAUGCAGACAGACUCAUGAUUUCUUUCCCUUUAUAUAUGUAAUGUAUAUUACUCCACUGACUCAAUUUUAUUGGCUGUACCUGUACGUGGUUAUGGGCAUGAGUCCCCAAUACAUGGAAAUAGAAACUAAAGCUUGCCCAUACAAAUUACAAAUUACAACGAAUGAAGAAUAAAAG